AGUGCAUCUUUGUACUGGAUGAUGGCUUUCAAGUGUGGCAGCUUGUCUUCAACCUGUAAACAAACGGAUGAGUACAAAACGUCAGACAAGAAGACUACACCACUGGCUGCUACGUGCUGAACUGCAUGACACUUGAAGAUCUGUGGUCUGGUGAACUCACAUUUCAAGUCUUGGUUCACACCACCCAGAUUCAUCUUCUAAUACGCAAAGCUCCAGAGACAGUGGUAUCAGGGUGUCCUGGAUGUGUUUGUGUGGACGUACUUUGCUGUAUCCACGAUGCCGUCAUCGAGGGAGCCUGCGCUGUCUCCUACG